rnacentral:rRNA from 1 species
ACUCCUACGGGAGGCAGCAGUGGGGAAUAUUGCACAAUGGGGGAAACCCUGAUGCAGCCAUGCCGCGUGUGUGAAGAAGGCCUUGGGUUGUAAAGCACUUUCAGUAGGGAGGAAGGUAGUGUAGUUAACACCUGCAUUAUUUGUACGUUACCUACAGAAGAAGCACCGGCUAACUCCGUGCCAGCAGCCGCGGUAAGUACGGAGGGUGCGAGCGUUAAUCGGAAUUACGUGGGCGUAAAGCGCAUGCAGGCGGCCUGUUAAGUCAGAUGUGAAAGCCCGGGGUCUUAACCUCGGAAUUGCAUUUGAAACUGGCAGGCUAGAGUCUUGUAGAGGGGUUAGAAUUUCAGGUGUAGCGGUGAAAUGCGUAGAGAUCUGAAGGAAUACCGAGU